ACGUGUCGGAUUACUGGGCGUAAGAGCUCGUAGGUGGUUUGUCGCGUCGUCUGUGAAAUUCCGGGGCUUAACUCCGGGCGUGCAGGCGAUACGGGCAUAACUUGAGUACUGUAGGGGAGACUGGAAUUCCUGGUGUAGCGGUGAAAUGCGCAGAUAUCAGGAGGAACACCGGUGGCGAAGGCGGGUCUCUGGGCAGUAACUGACGCUGAGGAGCGAAAGCAUGGGGAGCGAACAGGAUUAGAUACCCUGGUAGUCCAUGCCGUAAACGGUGGGCGCUAGGUGUGGGUUUCCUUCCACGGGAUCCGUGCCGUAGCUAACGCAUUAAGCGCCCCGCCUGGGGAGUACGGCCGCAAGGCUAAAACUCAAAGGAAUUGACGGGGGCCCGCACAAGCGGCGGAGCAUGUGGAUUAAUUCGAUGCAACGCGAAGAACCUUACCUGGGCUUGACAUAUACAGGAUCGCGCCAGAGAUGGUGUUUCCCUUGUGGCUUGUAUACAGGUGGUGCAUGGUUGUCGUCAGCUCGUGUCGUGAGAUGUUGGGUUAAGUCCCGCAACGAGCGCAACCCUUGUCUUAUGUUGCCAGCACGUUGUGGUGGGGACUCGUAAGAAACUGCCGGGGUUAACUCGGAGGAAGGUGGGGAUGACGUCAAAUCAUCAUGCCCCUUAUGUCCAGGGCUUCACACAUGCUACAAUGGUCGGUACAGUGGGUUGCCAGUCCGUGAGGGCGAGCUAAUCCCGCAAAGCCGGUCUCAGUUCGGAUCGGGGUCUGCAACUCGACCCCGUGAAGUCGGAGUCGCUAGUAAUCGCAGAUCAGCAACGCUGCGGUGAUA
rnacentral:rRNA from 1 species